rnacentral:tRNA from 2 species
GCCGGGGUGCCCGAGCGGUUAAGGGGCCAGCCUUGAGAGCUGGUGGGGCUCCGCCCCUCGUGGGUUCGAAUCCCACCCCCGGCG